GCGGAGGGAUCAUUAAAGAGUUCUAUAACUCCCAAACCCAUGUGAACAUACCUAACGUUGCCUCGGCAGGUCGCACCUACCUUGUAGCACCCUACCCUGUAGGGCCUACCCGGGAGGUGCGGGUAAGCCUGCCGGCGGCCCACCAAACUCUGUUUGAUAUUGAAUUCUGAACCUAUAACUAAAUAAGUUAAAACUUUCAACAACGGAUCUCUUGGUUCUGGCAUCGAUGAAGAACGCAGCGAAAUGCGAUAAGUAAUGUGAAUUGCAGAAUUCAGUGAAUCAUCGAAUCUUUGAACGCAUAUUGCGCCCAUUAGUAUUCUAGUGGGCAGGACCGUUCGAGCGUCAUUUCAACCCUUAAGCCUUCGUUGCUUAGUGUUGGGAGCCUACGGCAACGUAGCUCCUCAAAGUUAGUGGCGGAGUUGGUUCACACUCUAGACGUAGUAAUUUUUUAUCUCGCCUAUUAGUUGGACUAAUCCCCUGCCGUAAAACCCCCAAUUUAUCAAGGUUGACCUCGAAUCGGUUCAGACAAACUCGCUAAAUUGAAGCAUCUUAGUCAGCGAAGGAAAAGAAACCAACAGGGAUUGCCCUAGUAACGGCGAGUGAAGCGGCAACAGCUCAAAUUUGAAAUCUGGCCCUCGGGUCC
rnacentral:rRNA from 1 species